rnacentral:lncRNA from 1 species
AGUUGAGAAGCAAUGCUGUUUCACCUCCCUGAGAGAAUUGCCUUGUUUGUGAAAUACUACAGAAAAACCUGUAUUUUCUCCAGAAAAUGAAAGGUCUUGGCCUGAGUAAAUCAAGGCAGAAAACUCACCCCCGUGAAAGCUGCAGCUCUGAGAGUGUGUGGGCAGGGCUUCAACAGAAUACCUGUGGCUGCACUUACAAAAGGCAGCCAGAAGGACCCGUCCAUUCUGGAAAGUACCUUUAGUCUGAAAGCAUUUAUUGCAGAAAAAAUAUGAGGCUUGCUGGUAGUAUUCCCAGGUGACAAAUGUGCACCCAACACCCUACAGAAAAGAAGAACCAUAAAAUAAUUAAUUAUUCCAUUGUAACUCCUGCCUGGAAAACAUCUGAAAGAAGUCACUAGAUUCAGCCCACAUUCAAGAUGAGAAAUACCAGAAGGCAGAGAACACUGAGGCUGUUUUAGAGGCUGUCAACCCCAGGGAGACAGACAGCAAAUAAGAUGCUUGGAUGUUUUCACACCACUCUGACACAUGGAUGGAAGGUUAGAAGACAACAAAGGAAUGGGCUGGGAAGGACUCCAAAAGCAGAAUCAGAGAUUAUAUCAUUCCUUGGAAAUGGAGAAAAGGAUCAAAAAAGCUGAAUAAAAGGCAAACAUGGAGGAACAGAGUUUGGAGCAAUACCCUGACUUACAUUCAGUACUGUUAAUGGCUCCAGCAUCUUGAAACAAACCAAUUUUGGAUUUUCAGUUUUGUCAAAUAAAUUAAUCCUUCACAAAAUAAAUGUUUAUUGCUCA